rnacentral:lncRNA from 1 species
CUCCGAGCCCCUGGCACGGCCACAGUCCUCCCUGGAGGCUGCCUGGCUCCCUCCAGCAGGGCCACGCUGGCUGUUCCUGAGACGGGGAGUGCUCUCCCUGAGGUGGGCUCGGGUCGUGGUCCUUGCUGAAGCCUUGGUCACAGCCAUGCAGAACAGGCUCUGGCUAUGUUGCCUACACUGGUCUCAAACUCCUGGACUCAAAGCAAUUCUCCUGCCUUGGCCUCCUGAGGAGCUGUGUGUGCACCACAGAAACCAGUUCUUAAUAAAAACAAAACUAAUCAAUGGGGAACGGAAAGAUCUAAACUCACAGAUCCCAGACUCAAAUGGUGAGUGAUAUUUUGA